AGUUUGAUCAUGGCUCAGAAUGAACGCUGGCGGCGUGCCUAACACAUGCAAGUCGUACGAGAAAGACUGUUUUCGGAUGGUCGAGUAAAGUGGCGCACGGGUGAGUAACGCGUAGGUAACCUACCCUUGUAUUGGGGAUAACAGGACGAAAGUUCUGCUAAUACCGGAUGUGACCUGGGGCUGGAGGGUUUCAGGUUAAAGUGGGCCUCUCGAAGAAGCUCAUGUACAGGGAUGGGCCUGCGUCCUAUCAGCUUGUUGGUGGGGUAAUGGCCUACCAAGGCGACGACGGGUAGCUGGUCUGAGAGGAUGAUCAGCCACACUGGCACUGGAACACGGGCCAGACUCCUACGGGAGGCAGCAGUGAGGAAUUUUGCGCAAUGGGAGCAAUCCUGACGCAGCAACGCCGCGUGGGUGAAGAAGGCCUUCGGGUCGUAAAGCCCUGUCAGGUGGGAAGAAGGGUCCUAUCAGGAAAGGGGUGGGAUUUGACGGUACCACCAGAGGAAGCACCGGCUAACUCCGUGCCAGCAGCCGCGGUAAUACGGAGGGUGCGAGCGUUAUUCGGAAUUACUGGGCGUAAAGCGCGUGUAGGCGGGGGAGCAAGUCUGAUGUGAAAGCCCCGGGCUUAACCCGGGAAGUGCAUUGGAAACUGUUUUUCUUGAGUACUGGAGAGGAAGGGGGAAUUCCCGGUGUAGAGGUGAAAUUCGUAGAGAUCGGGAGGAAUACCAGUGGCGAAAGGCGCCCUUCUGGACGGUUACUGACGCUGAGACGCGAAAGCGUGGGGAGCAAACAGGGAUUAGAUACCCUGGUAGUCCACGCUGUAAACGAUGAGCACUAGGUGUAGCGGGUACUCAUUCCUGCUGUGCCGCAG
rnacentral:rRNA from 1 species